UUUUAUCUUCUCAUAAUAUGGCAUAUAGAUAGGGGGAGUUAUGUUUAACUCCGUCAUCAAUUGAUUGUCAUCAUCAAAAAGGGGGAGAUUGUUGAAUCUCGGAUUUUGAUGAUAUAAUCAAUUGGUGGGUUAAUUGAUCUAAUCCAUAUUAUUGAGUUAAGUGUGCAGGAUUAACUACGAUAACCAAAAAACAUAAAGCAAGGAUACCGGAGUCGAGCUCGAUGGAUGUUUAAGAGACCGAAGAAUCAACGGAGAUGCUGCCGGAACCAACCGAGAAGAAAUCGGGAACGUGUCGGAAGUUCGCCGAAGAAAUCGUCGGAGGCUCGCGGAGAUCACCGAGAAGGCUCGGCUACUUGUUAAAGUCAUCAUAAAGAUUGGGAGCUUGUAGGGAGUCCGUCGGAAGAAGUUCGUCGGAAAGCUCGCCGGAACAAGACUCGACGUUCGCGGUUAAAAAAACUUGCUUAGGAUGUUUUUUUUGUGUUAUGUAGUUCACCUGUAAUUAGGAUUAGGAUUAAGAGAUAAUCCUAUAUCCUGGUUAGGGGCCAACUGGGCCCAAAGUCAGAUUUGGUUUGGG
rnacentral:lncRNA from 1 species